rnacentral:misc_RNA from 1 species
AAGUCGUAACAAGGUUUCCGUAGGUGAACCUGCGGAAGGAUCAUUAACACGUAUCCAAACGUAAAAAACCCCCCCCGUGAACAUUCAAUCCUGCUCUUGUAACCCGCGUAGUUCGCAAUCUCUGGUAAAUCAUAGCCCGGAAAGUAGUUUUGAUUCAGAGACCUCUGGCUACGUGAGAACAUUGGAACAGUUACAAUCGAGCGGUAGUGUCUGAAAGUGUCACUGAUUGUGCAAGGAUAGCGCUUCAACGAUUCCUGUAGACCGUACACUCGGGCAGGAGCUAUGCCAAAGGGUCCCCAUGCCCCCUUAUAACCCCACAGUUUAAUGUGAAGCUCAAUGUAAUACAUUGGGUAAAAAAACCGAACAACUGUUAACAAUGGAUAUCUUGGUUCUC